AAUUUAUUUAUUUAUUUUUUUAAUUUUUUUUUUAAGGAAGCUAAAAGCCUAAAAGGCCAAACAAAAGAAAAACAAAAAAAAACUACAGACUAAAUAGCGGAGCAAAACCCAGUUUUUCGUAAGGCUGGCAUUGGUAGGUAUAUCAACUAUAUUUUUCAAUACCAUAUACCAACCAACUUAAAAUUGGUAGGCAAAAUCUUGUACCAAAACCAACCGUCAAAGUUGGUAUACCAACUUAGUUGGUACGGUUGGUACUCGGUUGGUACGGUUGGUAUUGGGUCUCUACCAAGUUUAAAUUGAGGCCCAACAAACUGAAAGGCCCAGCUCAUUUAAAUCCUUUUUUUGGGCCUAUACCAAACUUCUAUCAAUUAUCAAACUAUUCAAAGUUCAAACACAUUCAAAGUUUCACACAUCAUAAUAUCAUAUAAUUUCAAAUGCAUAAACAAGCAAGAUCAAAACUUUAAAAGUUCAAAUGCAACAAGCCAACAACAUCCAAAGUCUUAUAUAGAAAAUUAAACAACACAUGUCCAAUGAAAACACAAAAGUUCAGAUUAGCAGGGAAAGAGUGAUGUUGUGAGGCCGGGAGAGUGCUAGACUGCUAAACACCUCUAUCUUAAUUAAUUAAAUUCAUCAACUAUUCAACUAACUGGACCUGUACCCCGAGCAAGUUUAAGAAGCAAGCUAUAUAUAGAUUCAAACAGGUUGUCUAUCUCUCUAUCUAUCUCCUCAUUCAAACCCUACCCUCUUCUUCUUCUCUCUCAUUCUCUCUAACUUGAACAAAAAUCAACAUUGCUACCCAAUUCACUCCUACUCUCUAACUAUCAAAAGGUCCAUUCUUUCUUCCAAGCUAUCGACAUUUCAUAAUCUACCUUCUAAUCAUCCAACUGAUGAAUUCAUAACUCUAAAGCCAAUGCAAAAUAAUCGAAACAAGCACCGAAACACAACAAAUCAUAUCUCAAAUCCAAAUCACCAUCAAAAUGUUCACAGAGCAUAGAACACAAUCAACACAUAGAUUGAUAGAUAACAAUCAUAACACAUAGAUUGAUAGAUACACAUAGAUAAUAGAUUGAUAGAUACAUACGGAGAUUCGAGGCUUGGUGCUGCGAAGUCGACGGCGAGUUGAGGCGCUGCCCUUCGUCGAAGAGUCGAGACACUGCCCAGCGUUGCCCUUCGUCGGAGAGUUGAGGCGAUGCCUAGCGCUACCCUUCGUCGGAGAGUCGAGGAGCUGCCUAGCGCUGCCGAGUCGAGGUGGCCGAGGUGCUGCUGAGUUAACGACAAGAGAGGCGAGGUGGCUAGAAGUUGAGUCGAGGUGGCGGAGCCGAGGAGGUGUUGCGAAGUUGAGGUGGUCGAGCCGCGGGGGUGCUGCGAAGUAGAGAGAUGAGGCGAGACGCGAGAGAGACGAGCGUGAGAGGCCGAGACCUGAGAGUGACUGUGAGUUAUUGAGAAUAGAGUCAACUGACUCAACUCAACUAACUAACUAACCUAGGUUAGAUCCACAGUCCACAGAUCAACGGCUUAGAUUAAUAGUUUUAAUCUUUUCUUUUUUUUUAAUAUAACUCGGUUGGUACAUGGUAUACUGUGUUUUGGGAAAAUCUGUACCAUGUACCAACCGACUUCGAAAACUUGGUACGGUACUACUGUACCGAAAACUCAGUUACCAACUACUUGGCAUACCAAUUUGUUUGGUACGGUUGGUACGUGGUUGGUUGGUAUCGCCAGGGUCCAAAUUGCCACCCCUAGUUUUUCGUGCUCUAGUAACACCAGCAAGAAUGUCGGUGUACAUAUUGUCCUAAAAGAGAUUUUUUUUUUAGUUACAGAAGGGACCUAAAAGGCCUAAACAAAAGAAAAACAAAAAAACUACUGACUAAAUACUUGAGCAAAGCCCAGUUCUUCAUGCUCUAGUAACACCAGCAAGAUCAUCUAAAACAACUUGAGCAACAUGAGCAGGGAAAUCAACAAAAAUGAUCAGACCAAGAUCAUGGUUGAUACUAUCCUUGGCCAAGGCAUCACCUACCAUAUUGCACUCUCUGAAAAUGUGAUUAAGCUUUGCAUUCUGCAAAUUAGCCAUCAUUGUAACACAAUGAUGAAUCCCAUUAUCAAACGUAAGCAUGAGUUGAACUAGCACAAUCACAAGGUUGAGCUAAAAGAGAAAUUUUAUUCACACAUGCACACUUCUAUUUUUUUAUAAUUCUUUUUAAUACAAUUUUACCCUUUUUCAUGAAGAUGAACAAAAAAAAACUAAAUAAAUAAACAAAUUUCAGUUUGGAUGCUAAGCUUUUAAAGAAUUAUAUAUAUUUACUACUUUGAGAAUCGGUAGUCUGCAAGCUUCCUAAUGAUAUCAAAUUUUCAUACUAUCUCGACUUAAUGAAAGUGUUGGAGGUUAUUUGAGUGAGAAAAUCAGUAAAAAAGAAAUUACAAAUCUGAAAUCAAUUUGUCUCCCUUGAUUGUUUGUUAAGCUUCAUUAGCUUACCAAUUGAUUUUAGUUGAAAAAUUGAUAGUAUUAAUCAUAGAGAUGAGAAUACAGAGUGAUAGAUUACGGAGCAACAACUUGCUUUGAAUUGGUUUUGAAUGAAGAAAGAAGAUGAUAGGUUAAAGAGUGUGUAUAAGUAAAAUAAAGAGGGCAUAAGAGGAAGUUUGGGGGAAAAAAAUUAGAUAAAAAAAAUAGAUGUGUGUAUUAAGUAUAUAAAGGUGUGUGAAGAAAAUUUUUCGUCCUAAAAAUAUACUAAUUUUUAAUUUUUUUAUUCAAGAUCACGGCAUUCCAAAGGCUUUCUAGACCUAAGGACUAAUCUGCUAGGGGCCCGGACAGCCAGCAGGGCAUUGCAGCCCCUCCUCUGGCCACUUUUGACAGUGUCGUGAUUCGAACCUAAGUUAGGGAGCACACCUAACUAGGCAAUAACCACUAGACUACUUUCCAGUGGUUAAAAAUAUACUAGUUAGCAAAGAGUUUUUGUUUUCUAUAGUUUAUGUUUGGAAAAACUCAUAUAUCACUAGCCAUGGUUAUAAGCAAUUGUGUUGCACCAUAAGACUCUUGGAUCAUCAUGGAGUUUAAGAAAAAGAGAAACAAAGAGCAAAAUGUGUUGUUAACAUGUUAUAAACUAAAGAAAUAAGAGAGAACGAUAGAGAGAGAUAGAAUGUGAGAAGAUGAAGAAGUGUAUCAUUCAUUCUCAUUAGACCAUUUUAUACAGGAGUAAUGUUUACAACAUAAGGACAUAAGUACUGAGCAUUUACAUAGACAUCCACAUAAUUAUAAUAUUUACAACAUUUAUAGAAAUGUAACAAACUGGAUUUUUUUUUAAAUACACAAUACUCAUAAUACCCAUGUAUGUCAUCAUAUCGCUAUGCCUUAUGGUCACGUAUUGAGCAUCCCCUACAUGAGAAUCUCUCGAGUAUUUUAACACGUGAAAAAAAAAAAUCAGAAUUUGGCCUAUGUCCCACCUUCUUAUUGGAAAUCGGUUCUUGAUUUCCUAAAUUCUCAAGAAUUUGAUUACGAAUGGGAGAUGUUUUUAUAAAUCAACACCAUUCGAUAUUUAUACCAACUCAUUUUUUCUCACAAUUCAUUUAUUCUUGAUUCAUGGUUUUAUUUUCAUGCCAAAUAAGUAAACGUGUCAUCAGUCUUUUUUAUUAAACACAUAUGACUGAUCAGAUUCACAUGUUCCUCAUAGUCCCUUAAAAAUGGUCAUUGAGCGAGCAUGCUCUCUAGUUGCUCAUAAAUAAUUUCACAAUGAUUUACUAAACUCUCAUAAAUACUUUCUUAAGUGAAAAUUAUCGACACUUUCAUGGACCGGUUUAGCCCCUAGUAGGCCCAAAAAGCAGUACCAAAUAAGUGAGGUGUUUGUAUGGUGUCUUAGGAUGAGCUUCUUGUUGCCAACCAUUCAUCGAAGAUAAAACGACAUAUCCUAAGUUUGUGUGCCAUUACUCUUUUGUUUCAUAACAGCCUUUGAGGUUUCAGAUAACCCAAGCAAACCUCACACAGACACAGAAGAGAGAUAACGUAGCAAAACCAUGGCACUGAGAAUGUGGGCUUCUUCUACAGCCAAUGCUCUCAGAAUCUCUGGUGGUGCCUCCAAAGCUCAACUCUCCCCUGCAUUCUCUCUUUCCAGAUGCUUUUCCACUGGUACUACUUCUCACUUUCUUUAACUUGGUCAACGGCUUUUUUCUUUUGGCUUCUUUUACUUUUAGUGCUAAGGGUCAACUAGAAGUGUGGUCUAGAUUAUAAAGUGCCUAGCUUUUUCACUGGAAUCAAAGAAUGCUGCUAAUGCAUGUAUGCUUAGUCUCUCUAAUGUGUAGGUAUGAAAAUUUAGUACAGGCAAUUUCAGAGCUGGAUUAAACUAACGGUUUUGGGUAUGUAUUCUUUGGUGGGAUUUGAAAGAAUUGUAACUUUUUGGGAUUUAUGUUGGAUUUGCAGUUUUGGAAGGGUUGAAGUAUGCAUCUUCACAUGAAUGGGUGAAGCAUGAAGGUUCAGUUGCUACAAUUGGUAUCACUGACCAUGCUCAGGUUAGUGUUAUGUUUAGAAACAAGUGAUGUACUAUAUAUGAGCUUUUUUUUCACAAGUCAGAACCUUAUUAUGGUCUGAAAAGGAAGGAAGUCACCAAAUGAUGUAGAAGUGCACAUUGCAGAAUCUAAUCUACUAGGAAUAAUUGAAAUUCAGAGCGGGCAUAUGUUCGGAUAUUAUGUGAUAAACUUUUGGUAAGCCAGUUCGGCGAGUGAUGUGAUAUUUGAAGUAGCAGAUAGAGUGACUAGAUGAAGCUUUUUUUGUUUCAGGACCAUCUUGGUGAAGUGGUGUUUGUGGAGCUGCCAGAACCGGGUACUGUAGUCUCCCAAAGCAGCAGCUUCGGAAAUGUUGAAAGUGUGAAAGCAACCAGUGAUGUAAAUUCCCCAAUCUCUGGUGAGGUUGUUGAGGUUAACCCGAAGCUUAGUGAAACACCUGGUUUGGUAAUUGCUUUUCCUUAACUUCACACCUGUAUUUCCUUAAAAAUGUGACAUGUUAAGUUGUUAGACUCUCGAUCUGAACCAGGCUACUAAAUAAAAUUACAAUUUGACAACAUAACAUAGUGGCAUGUUUGUUUGACAACAUGUUCUGUUGUUAACACUCAUUUGGUGUAUUUUCUGAUGAAGAUCAAUACAAGCCCAUAUGAAGAUGGAUGGAUGAUCAAGGUGAAACCCAGCAAUCCAUCAGAACUAGAAUCCUUAUUGGGUGCUAAAGAAUACACGAAAUUCUGCGAGGAAGAAGAUGCAGCCCACUAGAAUGUAAUCAGACUUGCAGGCCAAGUAAUCUUGAACCGACUGAUUCUCAGAUGUUUAAGAAUCUUGUUUGACAAGUUCUUGUCAAAAUAUUAUUACAAAACUGCAGGUUCCAAGUUAAAUGUGUUUUCCCUCAUUUCCCUUUCAAGUGCACUAUGUAUCAUCUCUCUAUCUCUAGCCUGCAUUGCUUAUCUUGGACUAUACAAAAGUAGGGGGACUGUACUUGAAGCAAGUCUAACCCCAACAAUUUAUUCAAAUGUCAACUACUAUUAUUAUCUUUUGCACCAGACAAACACCGAUCAAGGGAUGCAAUAAGGACAUAACUACAUGUUUAUUAUACAAAUAGUACAGAAUUUAUAUAGAUGAUGAUGUUGAUGGAAGCUUCUUAAUGUUUGCAAAACAAUUGUCUUCGGGUCUUGUAUGAGGUAAGUACCUCACUUUACAUCCCGGAUUAAGUCGUUCGAGCCUGCAUUCAAGAAGUUCAAUGUCAGAGACUAUUAUUUAUCAUUCAUAUAGUUGCAUAACUUGCAUUUUCAGUGUCAUAGAGAGAGUUAUAUAAUAGUAUGACAAGUACAUUUGGAUGGAAGAAUUGGUUGGAGGAAAAGGAUUACAAGAUACUGGAGACACUGCAUUGCAGAUGACUUAAUAUAUACCAUUAAGAGUGUAAGUGAUUAGGUAAAAUGAAUCAUCUGAAAGUUCAUGGAUAAGUAUCAGUUAUUAGAUUAAUAGUGUCUCCUUCCAAAUGGACCAUUGCAUUUUGCAUUUGGAUAUAUGGAUUUAAAUCAGGCUAGAAUUUUGAAUCUGACAAUUCAACUUAAAAUUGGCCACCUUUGAAAAGCAAGGCACUUACUCAUAAUUCAGGAGAAAGUAGUGAAGAAAUGUAGUAAUUUCAAGCUUGGUCAAAUCACUUCCAGGGCAUUGCCUACUUCCUAUUCCAAAGGGAAUGUAAGUCCCUGCCUUCACUUUACUUUCCUACAAAAAGGAACAGAAAAAAGACAGAUACUUGUUUAACCUCUGAGAUGUAAAAUUUUGCUCAGUCAUACCUGUAAUGCAUGAAAUGAUGAAUACAGUAUACAAAGACAUCUAAUUCUGCGAGUCAUCUAGCUUACGUUCCAUCUUGAGGGAUUGAACUCAUUUGGAUCUUGAUAAAUUUCUGGGUUCAAAUGUAUUCCUCUGAACCAUAUCAUCACUUUCCAUCCCUUUGGUAUUGUGUAACCUUGAACACACAACAUGUCCUAGUAAGUUUCAUCACAAGAAACUGAUAUAACAAUAAAUAGAUAAUAUAGAGAGAUUAAUUGCUUACCAGAGAUGUUAACAUCAGCUGUAGCCUCCCGGUAAGUAUACAGCGAGAUAUUAACCACGCGCAUUGUUUCAUCAAUUACCUUUUCACCAAGCAUUGCUACUUGUUAGUUGUUGAAGUUGAAAUCAGAGGCAUAUGCUUAAGAUCAGGAAUUCAGGAUGCUAAAAAUUUGGCUUACCUUAGAAAGAUAUUCCAUCUGUUUAGUGAUAGACUUUUAAGAAUCUCCUCUUGCUCUGCCUGAAAGGUAAGAUUACAUCAACAUUUAACAAAGUCUCGUCGAUAAAUUCUGAAAGACAACUGCGGUUCACAACUGUUAGGAAGAAUAGCAACUGUAGACAAAUUUAUAGCACACUUCAAAUUAACUUGGUUUCCAAGCAAUUGGUCGCCACACUUAAAUUUCUUUACAGACACAAAACCAGUACUUAACACCACACUCGCGUUUGAAUGCGUGCAUCUAAUUACCAGUACGAGCUAUUGUAAACCUUUUUCAAUCAAUGAAAUUCAAUUUCUACAAAUAGGCACCUACCCACCUUGGCUUUUUGGUAGAAUUCUGGAUUUUGAUGUAAAAAGAGAGUUGCCCACAUUGUGGCAUGGGCUGAAGAUUCAUGACCAGCAUUUAAGUA
rnacentral:lncRNA from 1 species